UUCAUACUUCUGAACAUGAGGUUCCCUGCUCAGCUCCUGGGGCUCCUCCUGCUCUGGGUCUCGGGAUCCGAUGGGGCUAUUGUUCUGACCCAGACUCCACACUCCUUGUCUGUCAUCCCUGGAGAGACGGCCUCCAUCUCCUGCAGAGCCAGUCAGAGCCUUGAAGAUAGUUAUAGAAACAGUCUUUUGCACUGGUAUGUGCAGAAGCCCGGCCAGUCUCCACAACUCCUGAUCUAUGUAGCUUCUAACCAGGCCUCUGGAGUCUCAGACAGGUUCACUGGCAGUGGGUCAGGGACGGAUUUCACCCUCAAAAUCAGCAGGGUGGAGGCUGAGGAUGCUGGAGUUUAUUACUGCCAGCAAAAUAAAGAAACUCCUCCCACAGUGAUUCAGCCCCGAACAUAA